rnacentral:rRNA from 1 species
AGAGCUUGCUUUUUAAGCUUAGUGGCGAACGGGUGAGUAACGCGUGGGUAACCUGCCUCAUACAGGGGGACAACAGUUAGAAAUGACUGCUAAUACCGCAUGACACUUUUGGGAGACAUCUCCUGGAAGCCAAAGCUUUAUGUGCUGAAAGAUGGCCUCGCGUCUGAUUAGCUAGUUGGUGAGGUAACGGCUCACCAAGGCGACGAUCAGUAGCCGGUCUGAGAGGAUGAACGGCCACAUUGGAACUGAGACACGGCCCAAACUCC